GCGGGCCAGCAGUCUCGUGCUCACAUAUACUAAAAUUGGAUCGAUACAGAGAAGAUUAGCAUGGCCCCUGCGAAAGGAUGACACGCCAAAUCCGUGAGCGCUCCAUCUUUUG